rnacentral:rRNA from 1 species
CCUACGGGUGGCAGCAGUGAGGAAUAUUGGUCAAUGGGCGAGAGCCUGAACCAGCCAAGUCGCGUGAAGGAUGACGGCCCUACGGGUUGUAAACUUCUUUUGUCAGGGAGCAAUUGGGUCCACGCGUGGGCUUAGCGAGAGUACCUGAAGAAACAGCAUCGGCUAACUCCGUGCCAGCAGCCGCGGUAAUACGGAGGAUGCGAGCGUUAUCCGGAUUUACUGGGUGUAAAGGGAGAGUAGGUGGCAAGGUAAGCGAUAUGUGAAAGCCUUAAGCUUAACUUAAGGAUUGCAUAACGAACUAUCUAGCGAGAGUACAGGAGAGGAAAGCGGAAUUCCUAGUGUAGCGGUGAAAUGCGUAGAUAUUAGGAAGAACACCAGUGGCGAAGGCGGCUCUCUGGACUGAAACUGACGCUGAGGCUCGAAAGCGUGGGGAGCGAACAGGAUUAGAUACCCUGGUAGUC